UUAGUUUAUCUGUCAGAAGAUUGAAUGAAAUUGGUUAAAAAGAGAAAAGUCAGAUCUUUUCUUCUUCUUUCCAAACUUGAUUCAUUUGUUGAAGACUGCCUUGUUUGUGUGCUCUCUAGUACCUUAGAGUUUGCUUAUUUCCACUGAAAAUAGGAGCGGAGUCUUGUUCCGUGAAAAACAUGACUCUGACCCGAUAGUGGAUUUCCUUGCAUGAUAACUAGCUAGCCAUAGAUAAAAAAGGAAUUCCUUUCAAAACCCUUGGCUGUAACACAGACACACAGCACAUGAGCUGCCAUUUCUUUGAUUUUUAAAACCAUCUCAAAGUGAUUCAUGAUGAAUACAAUAUCUAAAUGGAUUAUAUGGGUAAUUGUCCUUCGGAGUCACAGCUGGAGAAUCAUUCAGUGGAACAAGGGCUUGUUCAAAUGAUGGAUGUUAAAAGUUGUGCUGUGGUCUGCACGCAUUUUAGUGGAAAAAAUGUCCUUCAUCCCAUACACGCACGCGAGGCAUGUCCUCCCCCAUCCUCCUACUAAAAGGCACGCUCCCUGACUGCUGUAAGUGGUUUGGAGUGCCUGUGCAACCUGCACCUGGAAACAAGGCAAUGUAGGCUGAGACUUGGCUGCUCAGGAAACGCCGCAUUUCUUCCCCUGCAAUACUUUAUACUUUGAUGGUUUUAUGAUGGAUUGAGGGGAGAGUAUCCUGGAAAAGAUGGGGGGGGGGAGAAGGGGUGAAAAUGGGUGUGCGCAGCUAGCUCAGGUCACCAAUGCCUCUGUAGUCCAACAUCUGCUUCCAUUUGAGGUGUCUGCAAUAAGCCCAGUGACUGAACAUCAGAGGCUGCGGUUCUUCGCCUGACGCUUGUGUCACCAGUAUCUGGGGUGCUGUGUUGCCAGUCAUAGCAUGUCAGAAUCCUGUUCUACAAACCUAAGGAGAAUGGAAACUUAGAACCGAAUAUAGCUCAUCAUUAGACGAAUAUCAGACAAUCAGUGGUUUUAAAGGGCAGGGAGUAAGUAAAACAUGAGGAAAUGUCCUCAGUUCACUUUUUGAUGAAUGUAUCUGUCCCUCUUGUUUCGCUCCAUGGUGGCUAAUAUAACGGAUCCCAUUUCUUGGAAGGAAUGUACUCUUCCAUAGAGAUGUGAAAUUCAUAUUGAUUAUGGAGCGUCUUGAGUUUCCUGUCCGUGACAGGGAUGAUAUUGGCUAAAGCCUGCCUUGGCUGUAAAGUGCAGCCAAAUCUUUUCAAUUAUCUGUACAACGGAUAGAUCAUAUUGAAAGGUUUAUAGGCCAGAAUUGCCGUAUUUGACCUUCUGUUGGGAAUGAAAUCAUUCAGUGUGAAAAAAUGAGUGACAUCUACACAGACACAAGGCAAUUAACUGAACAUUUGCUUGUGACUGGGACGAUUCCACACAGGAAACCCACCUGUUUGCAUGUGAUUGGAUUUUUUUUUAAUUGCAUAUGACUGAAAUCUUUAAAACAGCCCUGAUAACUGUCCAUAACUGUCCAUAAUCAUGCGCUUAACCUUUUUUAGCUUUUUAUUAUGGCUUUCUUUAUGAAUUUGCAGGUGUGAGACCAUGUUUUUUUGACUGUAUGUCAAAAAGGUGUAACUCUGUAAAUUCCUUAGAAAUGUCUGCAGGUACAGACUUACAUUGUCAUUUUCAUUACUACAUACCUUUCUUAUUAGUUUCAUAGAAUAACUGAGUAAUAAUCAAAGAAUUUAAGGGUUUACCCCUCUAUGUUCUAAACCCAUUAUUCAGUUAUUCGUUGUAAAUCAUAUUAUUCAAUAAUGUCUAUGAAUUAUUCAGCAACUAGAGAGAAAGUUAUAUAAAAGGUAUGUAAUUACAGGACUGAGGAACGCAAGUCUGGAGCUGUGGACAAACCCUGGCCAUUUCGGAGGCACACGCAUUUCGUUUGUUCAGCAUUGUCUAUCCUGCCACUAAACCUGCUGUAACUACCGCCGCCUCCAAUCCUGUCUUAAAUUUGAGUGGAACAUGUGCAGAUUGGUGGAAGCUUCAGCCACAGUGUGACCUUUCGCACCAGGAAGGUUUCAUCGUCAGCAUGCUAUCGAGCCGACAGGCAAGGUGAGCAGCAGCAGGGGCUUGGCGCUGCCCACAGCUGUUGACAUUGGCUGGGGUGCACUGAGGAAUGCAGCAGGCCUUGCUGAUGACUGCUUCCCCCUUCACUGUUGGGCCUGAGCCACUUCAUUGCGCCAGCUGUGAGACCCCACUGAGCCAUUUCUCCUCGAGGUCAGCUGGAGGUGCCCUCGACCUGCCCGAUUGUCUACACUCAUAAAUAUCUUAUAAAAUAUGCCUGUGGUUAAAUGCUGAUAGAAAAAUACUUGAUUUGACUAGUUUGUCACAGCCAGCUUUAGGAGUUAGGAAAAAAUAAUGAGUAUGCAUGAGGGCUCUGGGAUCUCCCACCUAAUGAGCUGGAUUUUCUUUACCUUUGGCUCAACAGAGCAUGCGGUAUAACAAUGUGAAGCAGCCCAGCUGCCUGGGGUGAAGUAGCCUGGAAGGUCAGAGCAUAUCCUCAGUGCCUCGUAGAGCCGAAUUCCUGUGUGGCAAAGCAGUAUGCAACAAGUUGCACAAUACAUUCCAGAUAACUCCAGCCAGUUCCUUUAAUUUCGCUGGGGACACAAUUAAGAUCAAGGACGUCAGAGACGGCUGAAGGGCGGAUGUUUAAACAGAGAUCAGUUCAUCUCUUUGUAAGUCUGCUUAAUGCUAUUUGCUGUCAAAACCAUAGCCAUUCCUGACAUUCUUUGCAGGGACACACUGUCUUGAUUUGAAGUUUGUGAUGUUAUAAUCUUUAGAUUCUGGUGUAAUUCCAUACAUUUUGUUGGUUUAACCACGUGCUUAUUGUUCAGUUAUCCAUCUUAAUUCGGGGUAUUCGGGAACUAAAGUGUAACUAAUAGGAAAAGGUAAAGAGUUAUAAGUCUGGACCUGCAGAUGGGUUGAAGGGGUUAAACAGGCAGCAGUCAUUAUGCAAACAUGUUACAGCUCUUAGUGGCCAGGUGUUGUAUGUAAAAUGUGUCUUGGAGAAUUGAAUUCUUUCCUUUAAUUCAUUGCAUUGUUCAGUGCUCUGUCUCUCCUGGGCUUAAUCAUUUGUAGUGCAGUUUUACUGAAUGAGUGAUUGCCACAAUUCUAUUCAAAGUAUACCCUGAAUGUAUGUAUGUAUGUAUGUAUG